GGCCACCAGGAUGGAGAGGAAAUGAAGAGAUUCUGGUUGCCAGGACAACGGAAUGUCAGAGCUCAUGUGCUCCAUUUUGAGCUCAUAUUGUCUUCAUUGGAAACAGGUCAACAAGGAGGGCAAGUGACUUUUUCAACCAAGUCUGGAAUACUGACGGGGCUUGUCCAGCCUGAGACCAGUCACUUCGGAACAGAGUAAUUCUCCUCCCCAAAAGCAAUCAAUAGAUCACACAAUGACUCUUCUGAAGCUCAAAGGCACGGGGACAGGACAAGUGCUGAGCUCCUCAGAGUUCUUUUCUUAUUAGGCAUUUGUUGGUCGCCUCUCCAGUGUCUACAGUCUUCUCUCCCUUUGUGGAGAACCUUGAUUUGGUCAUAACUGGGCAUGUGACCUAGUGCCGGCCAUUAAGGGAGAGAGAGAGACUCUGGGUUUGUGCAGAGGCUCCCUGGGGUGUCCCCCUCUCCCUGUGAACAGCGUGGUAGGAGGCUGGAGGCCCAAAACCCCCAAAUGUCACUGCACUACAUGGGGAGCUCAGAGCUGCAGGGCCCUGGAGUGGGGUCAACACCAUGAAAAGCAAACCAGGAAGUCAAAGAAACUCGGUCCUCACACAGUCCAAGCUCUUGGGUCAAGCUACUACAUCUGAUAUGAUUGUAUAGCCACAGCUCAUUCCAUGAGACACAAG
rnacentral:lncRNA from 10 species